UGCCGAACGCGUGCCUGCGUGCCCCUCGCAUACACAUAGCUGGGGCUGCGGCACCGACGGACGGACUUUGGCCGGGAUCACGUGGGGCUGCGAGGCACACCACGGGAGCGUGCGGCGAUCGCCGUGUGUCGGCCAGACGUGGGGCUGUGGCACCGGGGUACGACGCGCUCAUCUGAGGUACAUCUCGGGACACCGGAGUCCCGAGAGCGUGUGGCUGUCGCCGUGAGGCGCACGCAGCGCUCUGAGCUGCGUGAGGUCGGAGGCACGCAGGGCUGUGUUACUUGGAGGCACGCACAGGCCUGAGCAACGUGCUGAGACAUGAGGGUGCCUCGUUCCUGGAGGAAGGAGGGCAGCCUGGCCUGGUGGGGGAUCAGCGCGCGUGGAGCCGUGGAGCUGUGUCCCGUACCGCAAGGCUGUCAGCAGGACAGGCACGCAGACUGCUGCAAUACACAGGCACAUGCCCUGCUCUGGCAGCCUGUGACACCUGAGACUUGUAGUGACAUGCAACCGCACACGCUCGCACACUGACCUGAAAGAACACGGGGCCGUCACUGAGACCAGCAUAGACCAUACGUUUAAAGAGGAAAAAAGACUGGGACACUCAGGUGCUGAAAAAUAAAAUGGCAACAGUAUGUGUAACCCAUUUCAAA